UACGUAGGGUGCGAGCGUUGUCCGGAAUUAUUGGGCGUAAAGAGCUCGUAGGCGGUCUGUCGCGUCGAAUGUGAAAACCCGGGGCUCAACCCCGGGCCUGCAUUCGAUACGGGCAGGCUAGAGUUCGGUAGGGGAGUCUGGAAUUCCUGGUGUAGCGGUGAAAUGCGCAGAUAUCAGGAGGAACACCGGUGGCGAAGGCGGGACUCUGGGCCGAUACUGACGCUGAGGAGCGAAAGCGUGGGGAGCAAACAGG
rnacentral:rRNA from 1 species